GCACGUGACAAGUCCAUAUUUUAUAGGCAGCACAUCAGUGUUGUGUAAAUUUUAUGAACAACUUCUAUUAUCUUUGAAACCACAGAAGCAACAAACAGUUAUAAUUAUAGCCUGAAGAAGCUAUAGUGUUUCAAAUCUGCCUACAGUAGUGGUAUUACAAGGAAAAUGUUCUGUGUGCCUGCAGCUCUCACUGUGCUUAGUGACAUCACAAUUAUACUACACUUUAACUGAAACUUCUGUCCUUAAACAGAAACAGCUUGUCUAAAACCUGAGGUUGUUUUUUUCUCCUUCAAAAUUCUUUUGAUUUUUCCCCAAAUAAAAGGGGUAGAAAUGGUAAAUAUUGUAGCUUACUCUUUUCUUUGUUACUGUGCGGCUGCCUUUGCUGCUAUUAGUAACUUAUAGGUACUCUCUGGAGUUCCACAUGGGGAAUGAAUGUACAUUAUUUAAAAUUUCUUUAUGUCCAUCUGCUACUUGUCAACUCAUGAUCUUCUGAUCCUUGAAGAUUUGACAACCCUGUGAUUUGCUAUAAUGGAAUUACUGGAAAAGUUAUCAACAAAGGCAUUGCCACGCAAGAAUGCAAACAGUGUCCCCAGAAUGUUAGCCCCGGCAGCUGUGUCUUCAGUGUGAGCUUAGGACAAACUGGACACAAUGAGGAAAGGCUCCACAAGGAAACCAAUAGAAAGCUAUAUAUCCUGUGAAGAACUUUUGAGAACAUAACAAAAAAUGAAAUGAACUUCCAACCACCAGGAGCUGAUCCCUGGAGAUGAUGUUCCGCUUACUUGGGCCCCAGAGAUUAAGCCUGCACAGCCCUUCCUUCUAUUUGAAGUGUAUGAUAUUGAUAUCAGUGCUUUGGGAGAACGAGGACUCUAAAAUGAACAUAUCACGCCAGGCUCCAUAAAGUCUAUGUUGCAAAGAGAUGUAUAGGCUGAGGUGGAGAAGGGCCAAGUCAGGCUUUUGCUCUGGAAAGCAAGUAUUAUGUAAUGAGUUAGCGCCUGUUUCCUGGCCUCAUCCUUAAUAUUUUGUACAUCUCCAUGAAAUAUGAAAAUAGGCCUGGAUUUCGGAGUGAUGUUACCUCAGUCACAAAUCAUCCAUUGUCAUUUUCUAGGUGCUGGUGAUCCUCGCGGUAUUAAUGCUCCUUCCCUCGUGCUGUCUUCUUUAAAAAAUAGAAGCACCCCCUCCCUUUUAUAUGCAGUUGGAAUCUAUUUUCAUGGAGUUCCUCCAAUCAGGACUACAUCCAAACCAUUUUGUUUUUUGAGCCUUUCAUACUAUAUUUACUGCGUGUAAUGAAAAGCCUCGAUUCUCCCCAUGCUAACUAGUGAAACGUGUGAUGGUUGAAAUAUUCCACAAGUCCCACAGUAUUUAUGGAAAGAGACAAAACACACAGAAGAUGUGUGGUUAUUAAGUAAGCUCCUUAAUCUCCUGAUUCUUGCACAUUCUCUCUCUCUUCUAUGGGCUUUUCAUUGCCACCAAGUUGUAAAGGUUUUCAUUGUUUGGAGCCUGGCUUAGGGAUCCCAGGAAAGCUCAGCUCCAGGCAGGUUUGCCUUGUGCGUUUUAGCAUAAAAAAUGCAUGACACUUCGGCAUAUGCUCCAUAUUAAGCUUAACCAGGUUAACGCCCCUUUGCUUGGGUUCUUGGAAGAGAGUCCCAUAUUGUCACAUGUAAAGGGGGACAUUUCAGUGCUGACUUUCAUUUCCAUGAGAUUAAAAGUGAAACAUGUAACCACAAAGCUGGUUUAUGUCAUCCCCCUGUCGGAGCCAGCAGUAAUGCCAAAAAUUAGAUAUUUGAUAGGUUUGUGAGAGAAACAGAUGCAGAAGGAUGCCAUUCCCACAAUUUUAGACUCCUUAUCUUUAAGCUAGAAAGAACAUUCCAGAUGAAGAAAAUCUAUUUUAUUGGCUUUAAAAAAUAGCAAAGAAAAUGCAGAAAUAAAAAGAAAAUGUUAAUUUAAAACCGAUGUCAUUCUUGGGGACUUAUAAACUGCAAAUUGGUAUUCUUUUUUUCCUUUAAACAACAAAAAGAAAGUUGUUCAAGACAUGCUUAUUCGACUGUUUUCAUUUAUUAUGCAUUUUUUCUACCCAGCCCCAAAGUUAUAAUUGAGAGAAAAUAUCCUCUAAAUAUAUUCAUGUGCGGUAUAUUUGAGGGUUGGGGGAAGAGAAAGAGAGGAGGAAAAGGGGAGAGACACCAUAAACCUCUAAAAGGCUAAAACAUCCAAAAAGUAUUCUUUCAGCUUUUUGUUUUGGAAGCAUUUUGUGUCCCUGUUCUUUUCUUUUUAUUUAAUUCUGCCAGCUGUCUGCUAAACAAAUCUAGCCAGGUGGGGCUUACAACCCAUGACUAAAAAACCUACUAGUGCAGCUGUCCAGCUUGCCCGGAGGAAGAAUUCAAACAAAUGGCAGGAAUGAAAAGAUUGGUUUUGUUUUCAAGAAAGUAGCUACUGUACCUUCUUUCGGUUCAGUUUUUGUUCUGUUUGCUUUAGUUAACUCAUGGCCUCCUAAGGUUUUUUACAGUGAAAUGGAAAAUCAUUUCCAUGUUUCUAGCAUUUUGUGUAUUUUGGUGAUAAUCUGGUUUUGUUUAAUAUGCCCUUCCACCUCCCCUCCCACCCCCCACAUAAAUGUUUUAUUCUACAUGAGACCCAUAGCACAACUUGGCUGUUUUGAAGAAUACAUUUUGGGGUGCAAAUUACCAGCAAAGUAUGGCUAGACAUGAUUCCCAAAUAUUCAGUAAUUGACUAUGUAGCUAUUGAAAAGUGGUGGUGAGCAUUGUUUCUCCAAAAGCUGAGGAUAAGAACAGACUUCUUUGCACUGCAUCAUCAGCCGACCUCAACUGUAAUUUUUCUAGUCAGCAAAUGGGUGCUUUAUUCUGUGUGUCUGAGGAUAGCAAAGGAAGAACUGUGUUAGGAACGAUCACAUUGCCAUCUGAUCCAUGGCUCCAUGGAUGAGAGAUUAAUGGGCAAACCCCUCAGCUCCUCUCUUGUUUUAUCUGAUACUCAUCGACUCAGCAAGUCCCUAACUUCUGGCAAACAUGUUUCAACUCCUUUUUAUUUUUCAUCGAAGAAAGGAAUUGUGACCAUGGCCUUUGGGCCCAGCACCUGUUCACUAGCUAUGGAUGUUCCUAACAAGGAUCAGGACACAGCUCUGAUUUCAGUCAGACUUUUCUAAUUCCCCAUAGGGAGCAGAGCCCUACCUGGAAUGCCAUCAGAUCUCUCUAGUCCCUAAAUGAACAACUGGAAACAAAACAGUCUUUAACUUGAAGUCAAAUGCUUGCCACCACACCCAUUAGCCAGUUGUCAUUUCUUCCCGUACUGGAAAGAAAAUGGAGCUGAAAGGGUCAUUAACAAUUUCCCUAAAAAUGACACACAUUUCAUUUUCUUGGUCUUUGAGGGAAUUUGCAUAAACCUCAACUGAAACAGAUUUGGCAAAGAAACAUAGCUGAGAAAAUAUUUCCUUAUUAAAUAAAUUAGGAUGCUUGGAAAUUCAAAAUGGCUUCCUGAAUAAGCAGGGAAGCCCAGAGGAUGGUGGAGAGUUGACUUGAUUUCCUUUUGCUGUGUAACAAGCUUUGAGUGUUAUUGUGUUCACAAAACCAAGAAGAAAAGACUGUUUUUUCAGUGAGGAAAGUAGAAUGCUAAUGCAGAAAUAGUCCUCAUAGCUUUUUGUUACUUAAUGAAGAUGGAGUGAUGAAGAAUUUGGGUCAAAAUGGAGCAGAGCAGAAAUACAACUGCAAUGCCACUAUUUAUUCUAUAGAGAACAAACAAAGGCACAUGAUUAUUGUAAAGACCCUCCAAAGAAGGAUUUGCAAACUAAUUUAAGAGGAACAGGUAAUUUCCAUACUCCAAGUAAAUAUAUGCCUCAAGUAAGUAAGGAGAUACUCUCCUUAGUGGGAUAUCCAUUCAAGAAAACAAAGAAAUUUUAAAUCUCACAAUAUACCAGGUACUGUGGAUACAAAGACACAGUUCUUGCCCUCAGGGAACUCACAUUCUAAUGGGAGAGUCAACAUGAAAUAAUGAGAUAUGGAUAAGAUAUAGAUAGAAUAAAUGAGAGGCCAUCUGAGAGGGGAAGAUGCUUAGCAGUCUUCGUUCUACCAUUUCCUUUGUGCUUUUUAAUAAAAUCUCUUUGAGGAUAUUGUAAAAAAAACAACAUGUUGUUGCAAUACUUCCUUUGUGAUUAAAUAGCAGUAUGUAUUAUGUAUAACUAACCUGAAAGUUUUCAAUAUCACAUUAUUUGCUCUUAACCAGCUGCAUUUAUAAUAGAGAAAAAAAUCAUGUUUAGCAGCACCCCACUUGCCAAAUAUGUGGGGACUAGUUAUUGAAUGAAAAUGUCAAAGAAUACUUAUUUGAUAUUUCCUCCCAAUUUAUUUCCCCCUUUUUCUCUCCAUUCCAUAAUAUUCCAUAAGACACACAGGCAUAUAUGCCCUUUUACAAAAAUAUACAUAUCCUUCAGUAUGGACAGAGAAAUAGGGGAAUCUGUCUGUACAGAGUAAAGAAAUAUUUUCCUUCACAAAUCUCUUGAACAUUGUGAUAUGUUCAAGAAAACGUGCCCAUUUUAGAUAUGUUUUCCUGAGAUAAAUUAAAUUGUAUGUAUAGUCAAGAAAUAAAGGUAAUUUUUAUAGAUGAAA